UCCCGGUUCGUCUAAUGGCAGGACAAGAGCCUUUGGAGCUCUGUAUGGGGGUUCGACUCCCUCACCGGGAG
rnacentral:tRNA from 1 species